UUUCCGCAGCGCUGUAUCAAGUCUUUCUGCAAGUCUUCUCGCAGCACUAUGUACAGGUUCCUACUCCACUGCAUUGUGACUAUAAAUACAUGACAAUACUCUUCACAUGAAUGCAAAGGGAAAAGUGAAUAAAAUAUAGUAAGCAUUAUCAAACACUUGGCAACCAUGAAGGCCAUUCUCAUUGCUUUCUUACUCUUUGCUUCUCUUUUAUUCUUUCCCACUUCAACUAUGGCUCGACAACUCAAGGAAGGAACGUUUCAGACAGGAAACCCUAAUGACCCUAAUAAUCCUGCUAUUAAGUGUCCUCCCGGUCAGCCUUAUAGAAAUUGUCUUCCAUCACCGACACCACCAUGCUCACCAUAUGUACGCAAUUGCUGAUAUCUGAAUGAAUUAGAUAGUUUUACUCGUUGCUGGUACCAUUUAACACUUCCUGUGUUAAACCAUGGUGCUACCAUCUCUAUGUUUUUCCUUAUUUGGCUUAAAUGUGCUGUUUAAUAUAUAAGGGUUUGGCCUCUGGGCCAAUCCAAUAAAUAAGAACAUGGUUGCGUUUCCUUUUC